ACCUGGCAUACAAUGUAGAAUACUGUGUUUGUUAAGCAACAGCUACAUUGUCUGCUGGGUUU
rnacentral:pre_miRNA from 1 species